UACGUAUGGGGCUAGCGUUGUCCGGAAUCAUUGGGCGUAAAGCGCACGUAGGCGGCUUUGUAAGUUAGAGGUGAAAGCCCAGGGCUCAACCCUGGAAUUGCCUUUAAGACUGCAUCGCUUGAACAUCGGAGAGGUAAGUGGAAUUCCGAGUGUAGAGGUGAAAUUCGUAGAUAUUCGGAAGAACACCAGUGGCGAAGGCGACUUACUGGACGAUUGUUGACGCUGAGGUGCGAAAGCGUGGGGAGCAAACAGG
rnacentral:rRNA from 1 species